rnacentral:rRNA from 1 species
GACGAACGCUGGCGGCGUGCUUAACACAUGCAAGUCGAACGCUGAAGCUUGGUGCUUGCACUGGGUGGAUGAGUGGCAAACGGGUGAGUAAUACGUGAGUAACCUGCCCUUGACUCUGGGAUAAGCCUGGGAAACUGGGUCUAAUACUGGAUACGACAUGUCACCGCAUGGUGGUGUGUGGAAAGGGUUUUACUGGUUUUGGAUGGGCUCACGGCCUAUCAGCUUGUUGGUGGGGUAAUGGCUCACCAAGGCGACGACGGGUAGCCGGCCUGAGAGGGUGACCGGCCACACUGGGACUGAGACACGGCCCAGACUCCUACGGGAGGCAGCAGUGGGGAAUAUUGCACAAUGGGCGGAAGCCUGAUGCAGCGACGCCGCGUGAGGGAUGACGGCCUUCGGGUUGUAAACCUCUUUCAGCACGGAAGAAGCGAAAGUGACGGUACGUGCAGAAGAAGCGCCGGCUAACUACGUG